rnacentral:rRNA from 1 species
AGGCAGCAGUGGGGAAUUUUCCGCAAUGGGCGAAAGCCUGACGGAGCGACGCUGCGUGAAGGAUGACGGCCUGAGGGUUGUAAACUUCUUUUCUCGAAGAAGAAUCAAUGACGGUAUUCGAGGAAUAAGCAUCGGCUAACUCUGUGCCAGCAGCCGCGGUAAGACAGAGGAUGCAAGUGUUAUUCGGAUUGAUUGGGCGUAAAGCGUCUGUAGGCGGUUUAGAAAGUCUUUUGUGAAAUACUUCAGCUCAACUGGGGCUCCGCAAAAGAAACUUCUAGACUUGAGGGAAGUAGAGGUACAGGGAAUUUCCGGUGGAGCGGUGAAAUGCGUAGAUAUCGGAAGGAACACCAAUAUGGCGAAGGCACUGUACUGGGCUUUACCUGACGCUAAGAGACGAAAGCUAAAGGAGUGAUUAGGAUUAGAUACCCUAGUAAUUUUAGCCGUAAACGAUGGAAACUCACUGCCGAGCCGGUAUUCGGAGCGGUGGUCAAGCUAACGCGUGAAGUUUCCCGCCUGGGGAUUACGCAUGCAAAUGUGAAACUCAAAGGAAUUGACGGGGACCCGCACAAGCGGUGGAGUAUGUGGUUUAAUUCGAUGCAACGCGAAAAACCUUACCAAGGUUUGAAAUCAUUCUAAAACUCUUUGAAAGAAGAGCCUCCUUCGGGAUAGAAUGACAGGUGGUGCAUGGCUGUCGUCAGCUCGUGUUGUGAAAUGUCAAGUUAAGUCUUGUAACGAGCGCAACCCAUGUCUUUUGUUGCUGUUUACAGUGCUUAAAAGAGACUGCCGCUCUACAGCGGAGGAAGGUGUGGAUGAUGUCAAGUCAGCAUGCCCCUUAUAUCUUGGGCUACACACGUACUACAAUGGUAGGGACAAUGAGUCGCAAACCUGCGAAGGCUAGCCAAUCUCAAAAACCCUAUCUCAGUUCGGAUUGUACUCUGCAACUCGAGUGCAUGAAGGUGGAAUCGCUAGUAAUCGCUGGUCAGCAUACAGCGGUGAAUACGUUCCCGGGUCUUGUACACACUGCCCGUCACACCAUGGAAG